rnacentral:sRNA from 1 species
AUAACAUGUGAAAAAACUAAUUUUAUCAACUUUUUCAAAAAUAAUAAUCUAUUAGAAACAUAUGAUUAUUUAACUAUUUCUAAAUUUUCUUUACUGCUUAGCUUUGUAUGAGAUAUAGAGAACCGGUAUGGAAAACCGAAGAUCGACCGAGAUGACAAGGCUAAGAUAUGAGUCUAGAAAAAUUAUUUUUCAUUCUUAUGUUUUGCCUUCUUUUUUACUUAUUAUUUGCUUGGGACGAGUUGGAAGAUGGAAGUCUAAACUGGCUUAACUCAGGGAUGUGUUUCCUUGCGGUGUUCAAAACAGAAGCAGAUCGCAACUCCAACCAAAACGAGAAAGAAGAAUGUGGCGAUCACACGGUGUGAAAAUAAAAAUGGUAGAGUGAAGACUCAUAUUGUGGAAAAUCGGGUUUAGUGAUGUUGAACAUUGUGGUGUGAGUGUUUAAGUUGUUCUUCUUAAGUAAAUGCAUUUCGAUCAUCUAUAUAGAGUUAGAAGUUCUUAUUAAUAAAAACGUUGCACAUGUUAGUUCGACAGAGUAUCGAUUUGGAGGAUGAAAAAGUUAUUAUGGUAUUUAGAGGAAUUUUGAGAUGAGCAUUGCACCUUCCUUUUAAAAGUGAAAGGGAAAGGCGUAAGAUUUUUGUUGUCUUGAGUUAAUACAAGAAUAGUGGUCCGAUUUACAAUUUUUUUUACUAAAUAAAUACUUGUAUUUUUUUGGGAUUGAGGUUAUCGUUUGAUGGCUGAGAAAAAUGGACGCUUUAAAAUUGGGUUAACUGAAAGUGUUUUCAUUGCUUAGAGCUAUAGCUUUUUUUGGUUAAUGAUGAACAUGGAGCAACUUGUUUACUACUUAACAAAAGGCAUACAUUUGUUCAUUCUAAUGUUUUGCUUUUUUUUUUCCUUAUAUUUUGCUUUUUUUUCCAGAUUAUUGCUCGACGCAUGGACGAGUUUGCUCGCGGUGGUCCAGACAGUAGCACACUGCCGCUACCACCACGAUGAGAAAUGAACAAGUUGCCAUCACACCGAAGAGAACCACUAAGGCGGGAGUGUGAGAGUGAUUUGGUGGAAGUGGAAAAUUUGGUGUCGUUAAGUUAAACAUUUUGUUGGUGAGUUGGUUUUCGUUCUUCUUCGCUCUUCUUCUUCGAUCAUUGUUUAUAUAGAAUAGAGAAGGUUUUGGUUAAUCAAAACCUGCAAUUACAGACUGUUGAAUUGCUAAGAGUGUCAAUUGUAGGUUGAAAAAGUUUUUUUGGUUUUUCUAGUAAGAUUGAGAUAAACCUAUUACCUAGAAUUCAAAAGUGAUAGGGCCGUUAAAAAAAUUCCGAAUUGUUGAUCUUUAUAGGUUUUGAAUUGUUGAUCUUUUAUUAGCAAUUCUGAAUCAUGUCAAGGCCUGCCUCGUUGCCCAAUUCCAAAGAAACUAUCUUUAAUACCCGUUGAAUAUUAAUUCAUAAUUAUGAAAAAUAUUUGAUAUAAAAAUUAUAUCAAAACAUUUGUUUUGUUAAUAACAGGUGAAAAACGUAAAAAUAUCAACUUUUUCCAAAAUAAUAAUCUAUUAGAAACAUAUGAGUAUUUAACUAUUUAUAAAUUUCCUUUAUUGUUUAGCUUUGUAUUGAGAUAUGAAGAAAUGGUAUGGAGAACCAAAGAUCGACCGAGAUGACAGGGCUAAGGUAUGAGUCUUGAAAAAAAUAUUUUUCAUUCUUAUGUUUUGCUUGGUUUUUGCUUAUUAUUUGCUUGGGACGAGUUGGAAGAUGGAAGCGGAGACUGGCUCAACUCAGGGACGUUUUUCCUUGCGGCGCUCAAGACAAAAGCAGACGCAGCUCCAACCAAAACGAGAAACAAGAAUGAGGCGAUCACACACAUGAAAAUAUGAAUGGUAGAGUGAGACUCGGGCUCAUAUUGUGGAAAAUCAGGUUUAGUGAUGUUGAACAUUGUGGUGGUGAGUGUUUAAGUUGUUCUUCUUCAGUAAACGCAUUUCGAUCAUCUAUAUAGAAUAGAGAAGUUUCUUAUUAAUCAACAAGUUGCAGAUGUUAGUUCGACAAAAUAUCAAUUUUACUAAGAGAAGAAUGAGAAACGUUGGAGGUUGAAAAAGUUAUUAUGGUAUUUAGAGGAAAUUUGAGUUGAGCAUAGCACCUUCCCUUCAAAAGUGAAUGGAAAAGGCGUAAGACUUUUGUUGUCUUGAGUUAGUACAAGAAUGGUGGUCGGAUUUACAAUUUUUUUACUAAAUAAAUACUUGUAUUUUUUUGGGAUUGAGAUUAUCGUUUGAUGGCUGAGAAAAAUGGAAGCUUUAAAAUUAGGUUAACUGAAAGUGUUUUCAUUGCUUAGAGCUAUAGCUUUUUUUGGUUAAUGAUGAACAUGGAGCAACUUGUUUACUACUUAACAUAAGGCAUACAUUUGUUCAUUCUUAUGUUUUGCUUUUUUUUUUUCCUUAUGUUUGGCUUUUUUUUUCCAGAUUAUUGCUCGACGCAUGGACGAGUUUGCUCGCGGUGGUCCAGACAGUAGCACACUGCCGCUACCACCACGAUGAGAAAUGAACAAGUUGCCAUCACACCGAAGAGAACCACUAAGGCGGGAGUGUGAGAGUGAUUUGGUGGAAGUGGAAAAUUUGGCGUCGUUAAGUUAAACAUUUUGUUGGUGAGUUGGUUUUCGUUCUUCUUCGCUCUUCUUGUUCGAUCAUUGUUUAUAUAGAAUAGAGAAGGUUUUGGUUAAUCAAAACCUGCAAUUACAAACUGUUGAAUUGUCAAGAGUGUCAAUUGUAGGUUGAAAAUUUUUUUUUGGUUUUUCUAGUAAGUUUGAGAUAAACCUAUUACCUAGAAUUCAAAAGUGAUAGGGCCGUUCAAAAAAUUCCGAAUUGUUGAUCUUUAUAGGUUUUGAAUUGUUGAUCUUUUAUUGGGAAUUCUGAAUCAUGUCAAGGCCCGCCUCGUUGCCCGAUUCCAAAGAAACUGUCUUUAAUACCCGUUGCAUAUUAAUUCAUAAUUA